rnacentral:rRNA from 1 species
CCUGGCUCAGGACGAACGCUGGCGGCACGCUUAACACAUGCAAGUCGAACGAGAGAAGAGAAGCUUGCUUUUCUGAUCUAGUGGCGGACGGGUGAGUAACACGUGAGCAAUCUGCCUUUCAGAGGGGGAUACCGAUUGGAAACGAUCGUUAAUACCGCAUAAUAUAAUUGAACCGCAUGAUUUGAUUAUCAAAGAUUUAUCGCUGAAAGAUGAGCUCGCGUCUGAUUAGCUAGUUGGUAAGGUAACGGCUUACCAAGGCGACGAUCAGUAGCCGGACUGAGAGGUUGAUCGGCCACAUUGGGACUGAGACACGGCCCAGACUCCUACGGGAGGCAGCAGUGGGGAAUAUUGCACAAUGGAGGAAACUCUGAUGCAGCGAUGCCGCGUGAGGGAAGAAGGUUUUAGGAUUGUAAACCUCUGUCUUCAGGGACGAAAAAAGACGGUACCUGAGGAGGAAGCUCCGGCUAACUACGUGCCAGCAGCCGCGGUAAUACGUAGGGAGCGAGCGUUGUCCGGAAUUACUGGGUGUAAAGGGAGCGUAGGCGGGAUCGCAAGUCAGAUGUGAAAACUAUGGGCUUAACCCAUAAACUGCAUUUGAAACUGUGGUUCUUGAGUGAAGUAGAGGUAAGCGGAAUUCCUAGUGUAGCGGUGAAAUGCGUAGAUAUUAGGAGGAACAUCAGUGGCGAAGGCGGCUUACUGGGCUUUAACUGACGCUGAGGCUCGAAAGCGUGGGGAGCAAACAGGAUUAGAUACCCUGGUAGUCCACGCCGUAAACGAUGAUUACUAGGUGUGGGGGGACUGACCCCUUCCGUGCCGCAGCAAACGCAAUAAGUAAUCCACCUGGGGAGUACGACCGCAAGGUUGAAACUCAAAGGAAUUGACGGGGGCCCGCACAAGCAGUGGAGUAUGUGGAUUAAUUCGAAGCAACGCGAAGAACCUUACCAGGUCUUGACAUCGUAUGCAUAGCUCAGAGAUGAGUGAAAUCUCUUCGGAGACAUAUAGACAGGUGGUGCAUGGUUGUCGUCAGCUCGUGUCGUGAGAUGUUGGGUUAAGUCCCGCAACGAGCGCAACCCUUACUGUUAGUUGCUACGCAAGAGCACUCUAGCAGGACUGCCGUUGACAAAACGGAGGAAGGUGGGGAUGACGUCAAAUCAUCAUGCCCCUUAUGACCUGGGCCUCACACGUACUACAAUGGCUGUCAACAGAGGGAAGCAAAGCCGCGAGGUGGAGCGAACCCCUAAAAGCAGUCUUAGUUCGGAUUGUAGGCUGCAACCCGCCUACAUGAAGUCGGAAUUGCUAGUAAUCGCAGAUCAGCAUGCUGCGGUGAAUACGUUCCCGGGCCUUGUACACACCGCCCG